AAUGAACGCUGGUGGCAGACCUAACACAUGCAAGUCGAACGAUUUAUAAAAACUUCGGUUUUUGUAAAGAGUGGCAAACGGGUGAGUAAUGCAUGGGAAUCUACCUAGAAGUUUGGGAUAACUAUUAGAAAUAGUAGCUAAUACCGGAUACACCCUGAGGGGGAAUUGACUUUUAGCUUCGCUUUUAGAUGAGCCCAUGUUAAUGUUAGUUGGUGGAUAAUAGCCUACCAAGACGAUGAUUUAUAGCUGGUCUUAGAGGAUGAUCAGCCACACUGGAAUUGAGAUACGGUUCAGACUCCUACGGGGAGGCAGCAGUGGGGGAAUAUUGGACAAUGGGCGCAAGCCUGAUCCAGUCAUGCCACGUGAGUGAUGAAGGUCUUAGGAUUGUAAAAC
rnacentral:rRNA from 1 species